UUCCUUCAAUGGGACAGUCAUUAUCGUCUCUUUGGUUAUCUAGCUGUAUGAUUUGAAAUGUAAAUCAUAAAGCUGGAAAACUGAAGGAACGAUGUGUCUCAUGGA
rnacentral:pre_miRNA from 1 species